UACGUAGGGGGCGAGCGUUAUCCGGAUUUAUUGGGUUUAAAGGGUGCGUAGGCGGACUGUUAAGUCAGCGGUAAAAGCCCGGGGCUCAACCCCGGCGAGCCGUUGAAACUGGCUGUCUUGAGAUGUCGAGAGGUAUGCGGAAUGCGCAGUGUAGCGGUGAAAUGCUUAGAUAUUGCGCAGAACUCCGAUUGCGAAGGCAGCAUACCGGCGGCCGACUGACGCUGAGGCACGAAAGUGCGGGUAUCGAACAGG
rnacentral:rRNA from 1 species